AUUGAACGCUGGCGGCAGGUCUAACACAUGCAAGUCGAGCGGUAGAGAGGAGCUUGCUUCUCUUGAGAGCGGCGGACGGGUGAGUAAUGCGUAGGAAGCUACCCGAUAGAGGGGGAUACCAGUUGGAAACGACUGUUAAUACCGCAUAAUGUCUACGGACCAAAGUGUGGGACCUUCGGGCCACAUGCUAUCGGAUGCGCCUACGUGGGAUUAGCUAGUUGGUGGGGUAAUGGCUCACCAAGGCGACGAUCCCUAGCUGGUUUGAGAGGAUGAUCAGCCACACUGGAACUGAGACACGGUCCAGACUCCUACGGGAGGCAGCAGUGGGGAAUAUUGGACAAUGGGCGCAAGCCUGAUCCAGCCAUGCCGCGUGUGUGAAGAAGGCCUUCGGGUUGUAAAGCACUUUCAGUAGGGAGGAAGGGUGUUGUGUUAAUAGCACAGCAUUUUGACGUUACCUACGGAAGAAGCACCGGCUAACUCUGUGCCAGCCGCCGCAGUAAAAC
rnacentral:rRNA from 1 species